rnacentral:rRNA from 1 species
GACGUAGGAGACGAGCGUUAUCCGGAUUUACUGGGCGUAAAGCGCGUGCAGGCGGCUCGUUAAGUUGGAUGUGAAAGCCCCUGGCUAAACUAGGGGAGGUCGUUCAAGACUGGCGGGCUAGAGUGCAGCAGAGGAGAGUGGAAUUCCGAGUGUAGCGGUAAAAUGCACAGAUAUUCGGAAGAACACCAGAGGCGAAGGCGGCUCUCUGGGCUGCAACUGACGCUCAGACGCGAAAGCUAGGGGAGCGAACGGGAUUAGAAACCCCAGUAGUCC